CAAUUGAAUGAAACAGCAUUUUGUGAUAAUAAAACAUUAAGCGAUUCAACCGAUUCCUCUCAAAAGUCGUAUCACAUUCAAACCUAUGGCCCGAUGUGUCUGUUUACACACAAAACUGUCCGUUUUUGGACAAUUCAUUUAUUAUUUAUUUGGGUCAUUGACUCAUUGAUAUACUAUGGCUUAUCAUUUCAAUCACAAAAUCUCGGCAGCAAUACCUACGCAACACUAGCCUCAAUAGCAG